GGGGAGGGAGGGGGCAGGCGGUAACCAGCAGCGGUAAAAGGUUAGGGCGAUAAUUUGAGCAAGGGGAGGGUUGUUGGGCGUCUCGCGUCCGUCCGUGCGUAGAAGAUUGGGGCGGGAGACGGCGGCGACGACCGAAAGGAAGGACGCCCGCUCCUAGUAGGGACUAGGGUUGCCCCGAGCGAGGGGCGGAGGAGGGACGGACCUCCACUUUAUUCGUUUAUAAAAGGACUGCAGUUCAAACGAUGUCUGACCGGAAAGGAACCGACUUAGCCGUGUGUGAUGGUUGUACCUUUGUAUGUGGUGUCUACUACGCGAAUGUCGGUACCCUAAACCUUUUAACGUUCCUGAACAAGAACAAAUACGUCCGUACCCAACCCAACGUCUUCGGUACCUCCAGUACGAUGACAGGAAACAACCUGGUAACUAAGCCCUCCUUACCUUUUAGAGACGGGUUCUACUCUCAAAUGAGAGUUCACAUCACAAAAACCCGUACAAUUAACCUCGUACACCAACCCCUAUGCACAGACUGUUUAUACCCGCUUCCUGACCAAAUGACGAAAGUUGAGACAAAUGAUGACCUUACCCAAAGGAUUCACGAAACAGAGGUUUGAUAAAUACAAACUACCGAGAAGCGAAAGAGCAACCGCAUCCUAACCCACCGUCGGUACACAUAAGUAGAACCAAAAACCUCAAACAAGGACGCGUUUUAGCACCGAAAACCUACUAAUAAAAAAGGAAAAAAACCUGAUAACCGUGUCAGAACCUUCGAAGUGAACGUACCUAACAGCAUAGUUGUAACUGAACCUCCACCAACGAUCGUAACUGACGGUAGGGAACGAAAGAGAACGAGGGAAAGAAACCUUAAUGUGGACUUAGCGGUGCGAUAGACACACGCGUUUUAUCUUAUAGACUACGUUGUGAACAGGACCUCUCUUAGCGGCUCUGUUUGGUUCGUUGAGAAGGAGGACCUCAAGAGCAUAUGGGAGCUCUGCCACUUCAACUAGUAUCAUGAGAAUGGAGACUCCGUCUAGUAGAAGAAGGUGAGUCUCUCUUCCUGACGUGUCUACUACUACAGUAUUCGGGGUUUAGACCAUCACGACGACGUAACGCGUCAGAUGACAGUGCCUUUAACGCAUCUAGUUGAGAAGAUGAAACCAAACAAAAGAUGCGUUUAAGGAAACGAAUAAUACCUGAUCAGAACGACUGGCGCGUUGACUCGUUACGUUUAUCUUCGACGCGUAGACCCGACUUUAUACACUUCUCACUUUGUCUACGGUCGGAAAUGUUUCUAUGUAAACAGUGAUCAGAACGUCUCUAAGGCCCAGAUUAACGUAGACGAGAAGAACAACUUACCAAACCGGCUUUUCGAUGUUACACCACGAACGAGAAGUGUACGACACCAAAGGAACCGGGUGAACACAAAAUAGUCUCACUCGAUACCUGUUGACCGGAAGAUAAACCACGAGCACGAACACGGUACCCAUCGAUGUGUCAACAUACAAAUAUACGGGGUCUCCAAGCAUAGAAAAAGAGUACCGUACGUCAUUUACACAAAGAAGCACAGUGUCGUAUCACUCAAAUUACACAACUUUCAUGACGGACCAUCCGGAUAUUCAACGUUAAAGUUGUAAUAUAGGUAGCUAAACCGAUCCAUGAAUUUUACCAUAAAACAAAGGACUUAUAAAAUUUUUUUAAUACAGACGUAAUGUAAAGUACUACUUCUAUAUACAUUCAUUUGACCACGCUCAUACUGGAUUUGCUUAUUUUGUAUGAUGACGUAGGAAGAAUAAUUAAAAUAAGUCAUUACAAAAGAACAGUGUGACAGUAUAAUACUGGUAACACUGAAAAAAUACAUAACUUAAUGUACUUCCCCCAUAGAAAUCUGUCCUGGAUACGUUCCGGAAAAACAUAGAUACUAGAGGUGUAGUUCGAGAACGUUUCGCUACCUGAAGAGAUUCUGUCUUCUCUUCGUUCGUUGGCUGACUAUAUUCGUGCCAGUGUUCUUAUAAAAUGAACGAUCUCGUAGGUGAAUAAUCACAGUAACUAAACGUAAACAAUUAAAACACAAACAAUAACCCAAAUGUUCCACAAGUGGUGUAUUAAAACACGAAGCUUUAAAGAACUCCUGGGAUCGUAGCACAUCCAAAUGUAACCAAAUAUCCAUUAGGUUACGUCACUAUUUCCUAAGAGGAAAGUAGUAACAACAUGAACAGGACGAAUAAAUUUAGUAUUUAAUUUAGACAAUUGAUGACAGGUCAGUCUCACAUGGGUCCUACAUUUGUUUGCCUGUAGGACGAAGUAUCUAUUGAACCGAUUUACUUCAGAUGGCUAAGACUAGGUAAAAGGACUACUUUUUGGUUGAAUCAACACCGUACACCAUAAGGGGCAGAAUCCCAGAACAAAUAUGAGAAUCGACCCUUGUGAAUCUUACUAUGUAUCAAUAACGUCGUAAAAUGGGUUUUGUCAGAACAUCUCGUCAACAGUUAUCUAUAAAGCGACUUCCUCAAAACAAAAGGAUGCUUGAUUGAAUAAGAGAACAGGAAGAUCCAUAUGGGCUGCAGCCACGCGAGCUGGCCCCAACCUUAGCGCUGACGGUACCCGUCUCAACCACCUUAAUAAACGGGGGAACAUCGGCAACCUUACGACUCUUCGACGGUAGUCUACCUUCGGUAGUAACACAAACUCCACCACAAUAAGGAACGACGUUAACGGACGUACGAGAAGGGAAAACUCUGGUUCCCGGCGCGUUACUUGACUACUACCAGUACCACAUUUGUUCGUUUUUGUGAACCUGGUAUUUUAAGCAGUACGACGAUACGCACUUACAAAUAUAUGUUUGACAAUAUACAGAUCAUAAAAUCACCUGUACUGCUACUUCUAAGGAGCUUUAAGUAAAGCCCCAAAGCCUACAAUAACCUGUAGUAAAACAUUUCAGGAGUGAGGAACUCUGACAUUCAUCCUCAUACCAUACCAUACAUACAUAUUUAAGAAACUUGCACUAAUUCACAGACGUUGUCCGUAAAGAUGGUCAUUGAAAACGACUUAAGAGUACAACUAAACCAGGGGUCAGCUUCAAUCUCAACGUUCAACAUUGGGGAACACACACCAAUACCUUAACAAUCCAACGAACGUAGUAUGUACCAACAAUUUGAUCUGAACGUAAAAUCACUUGGAAUAUUAAUGUAUAAAAACGAUUUUUCGAUCUAACUUUAUUUUAGAGAAUGAUCGCCAG
rnacentral:rRNA from 1 species